rnacentral:rRNA from 1 species
AGGACGAACGCUGGCGGCGUGCUUAAAACAUGCAAGUCGAACGGACUUCUCAUGAAGCUUGCGAUUGAGAAGUUAGUGGCGGACGGGUGAGUAACGCGUGGGCAACCUGCCCCUGAGCCCGGGAUAACAGUUCGAAAGGACUGCUAAGACCGGAUAUACUUGCGGUGAAGCAUUUCACUGCAAGGAAAGGGAACGCUCAGGGAUGGGCCCGCGUCCCAUUAGCUAGUUGGUGAGGUAACGGCCCACCAAGGCGACGAUGGGUAGCCGGCCUGAGAGGGUGAACGGCCACACUGGGACUGAGACACGGCCCAGACUCCUACGGGAGGCAGCAGUUGGGAAUCUUCGGCAAUGGGCGCAAGCCUGACCGAGCAACGCCGCGUGAGUGAUGAAGGUUUUCGGAUUGUAAAGCUCUGUCUUCCGGGACGAUAAUGACGGUACCGGAGGGGGAAGCCACGGCUAACUACGUG